rnacentral:tRNA from 1 species
GCUCAAUUGGUCGAGCGGCUGACUCUUGAUUUCGGCUCAGGUCAUGAUCUCACAGGUUUGUGAGUUCAAGUCCCACAUAGGGCU